AUGGGGGCGCAGGUGCAGCUACGGUUGCUUCUUUUGGUAGCUACGGCGGUGGUUGCCAGCUGCGCCACCGGCGGCCUCGCCGCGACGUCGUCCCAGCUGGGCCGCCUGGAGGGCCUGCGCGUGGCCCUGACGCACGUCGACGCGCACGGCAACUACACCAAGCUGCAGCUGCUGCGGCGGGCGGCGAGGCGGAGCCGCCACCGCAUGUCCAGGCUCGUCGCGCGGACCACCGGCGUGCCGAUGAUGUCGAGAAAGGCCGUCGCGCCGGCCCUGCAGGUGCCGGUGCACGCCGGGAACGGUGAGUUUCUGAUGGACAUGUCCAUCGGAACGCCUGCCGUGGCCUACGCGGCCAUCAUUGACACCGGCAGCGACCUCGUGUGGACGCAGUGCAAGCCCUGCGUGGAGUGCUUCAACCAGAGCACGCCCGUGUUCGACCCCUCGUCGUCCUCCACCUACGCCGCGCUGCCGUGCUCCAGCUCCUUCUGCAGCGACCUGCCCAGCUCUAAGUGCGCCUCGGCCAAGUGCGGCUACACGUACACCUACGGCGACUCCUCGUCGACGCAGGGCGUGCUGGCCGCCGAGACCUUCACGCUGGCCAAGACGAAGCUCCCGGAGGUCGCCUUCGGCUGCGGCGACACGAACGAGGGCGACGGGUUCACGCAGGGCGCGGGGCUCGUGGGGCUCGGCCGGGGCCCCCUCUCGCUGGUCUCGCAGCUCGGCCUCAAGAAGUUCUCCUACUGCCUCACCUCCCUCGACGACACGAGCAAGAGCCCGCUCCUCCUCGGCUCUCUCGCCAGCAUCUCGGAGAGCGCGGCGGCCGCGUCGUCGGUGCAGACCACCCCUCUCAUCAAGAACCCGAGCCAGCCGUCCUUCUACUACGUGAACCUCAAGGGCCUGACGGUCGGCUCGACGCACAUCGCCCUGCCGAGCUCGGCGUUCGCCGUGCAGGGCGACGGCACGGGCGGGGUGAUCGUGGACUCCGGCACGUCGAUCACGUACCUGGAGCUGCAGGGGUACCGCGCGCUGAAGAAGGCGUUCGCGGCGCAGAUGAAGCUGCCGGCGGCGGACGGGUCGGGGAUCGGGCUGGACAUGUGCUUCGAGGCGCCGGCGAGCGGGGUGGACCAGGUGGAGGUGCCGAAGCUGGUGUUCCACUUCGACGGCGCGGACCUGGACCUGCCGGCGGAGAACUACAUGGUGCUGGACUCCGGGUCCGGCGCGCUGUGCGUGACGGUGAUGGGGUCGCGGGGCCUGUCCAUCAUCGGCAACUUCCAGCAGCAGAACAUCCAGUUCGUGUACGACGUGGGCGAGAACACCCUCUCCUUCGCGCCCGUGCAGUGCGCCAAAUUGUGA
rnacentral:rRNA from 1 species